UGAUUGAGCCUGGCGAAGCCUGAGCACAAUGCCGCGUGAGGGAAGACGGCCUUCGGGUUGUAAACCUCUUUCAGUCGGGAAGAAGGGUGGACGGUUAAUAGCCGGCUCACUUGACGGUACCUUCAGAAGAAGCUCCGGCUAACUACGUGCCAGCAGCCGCGGAAAAACGUAGGGAGCAAGCGUUGUCCGGAAUCAUUGGGCGUAAAGCGCGUGUAGGCGGUUACAUAAGUCUGUUGUGAAAGUCGGAGGCUCAACCUUCGAAAGCCGAUGGAUACUGUGUGACUUGAGUACGGAAGAGGAGAGUGGAAUUCCUGGUGUAGCGGGGGAAAUUCGGGGAUAUCAGGAGGAACACCUACAGCGAAGGCAGCUCUCUGGGACGUUCCUGACGCUGACCCCGA
rnacentral:rRNA from 1 species